rnacentral:rRNA from 1 species
UACGAAGGGGGCUAGCGUUGCUCGGAAUCACUGGGCGUAAAGGGCGCGUAGGCGGCCAUUCAAGUCGGAGGUGAAAGCCCAGGGCUCAACCCUGGAAUUGCCUUCGAUACUGUUUGGCUAGAGACCGGAAGAGGUAAGUGGAACUGCGAGUGUAGAGGUGAAAUUCGUAGAUAUUCGCAGGAACACCAGUGGCGAAGGCGGCUUACUGGUCCGGUUCUGACGCUGAGGCGCGAAAGCGUGGGGAGCAAACAGG